UAAGGAAAUGCUUAUUGCACCACAUGUGUUUUUCUUUGAAACAAACUUGCUUUGGCGGUGGGCCCAGCCUGCCGCCAGAGGUCUAAACUUACAACCAAUUUUUUAUUAACUUGUCACACCAGAUUAUUACUUAAUAGUCAAAACUUUCAACAACGGAUCUCUUGGUUCUCGCAUCGAUGAAGAACGCAGCGAAAUGCGAUACGUAAUAUGAAUUGCAGAUAUUCGUGAAUCAUCGAAUCUUUGAACGCACAUUGCGCCCUCUGGUAUUCCGGAGGGCAUGCCUGUUUGAGCGUCGUUUCUCCCUCAAACCGCUGGGUUUGGUGUUGAGCAAUACGACUUGGGUUUGCUUGAAAGACGGUAGUGGUAAGGCGGGAUCGCUUUGACAAUGGCUUAGGUCUAACCAAAAACAUUGCUUGCGGCGGUAACGUCCACCACGUAUAUCUUCAAACUUUGACCUCAAAUCAGGUAGGACUACCCGCUGAACUUAAGCAUAUCAAAAGCGGAGGAA
rnacentral:rRNA from 1 species